AAAAAGGAAGGCAGUAGGAUGACAUGUCAUAAGUUUCGACAAGGUAAAGACAAAGAAGUAUCUCCUUUUUGAGAGUGAAAAGGUUAAAAGGAAGGCAGUAGGAUGACGUCAUAAGUUUCGACAAGGUAAAGACAAAGAAGUAUCUCCUUUUUGAGAGUGAAAAGGUUAAAAGGAAGGCAGUAGGAUGACAUGUCAUAAGUUUCAACAAGGUAAAGACAAAGAAGUAUCUCCUUUUUGAGAGUGAAAAGGUUAAAAGGAAGGCAGUAGGAUGACGUCAUAAGUUUCGACAAGGUAAAGACAAAGAAGUAUCUCCUUUUUGAGAGUGAAAAGGUUAAAAGGAAGGCAGUAGGAUGACAUGUCAUAAGUUUCGACAAGGUAAAGACAAAGAAGUAUCUCCUUUUUGAGAGUGAAAAGGUUAAAAGGAAGGCAGUAGGAUGACAUGUCAUAAGUUUCGACAAGGUAAAGACAAAGAAGUAUCUCCUUUUUGAGA